rnacentral:rRNA from 1 species
AAUGAACGUUGGCGGCGUGGAUUAGGCAUGCAAGUCGAGCGCGAUGAGUUUGGUAGCUUGCUAUUGAACUCGGAAAGCGGCGAAAGGGAGAGUAACGCGUAGUUACGUGCCCCAGGGUUCGGAAUAGCCACGGGAAACUGUGGGUAAUGCCGAAUAACAUCUCCGGAUCAAAGGUGUGAUUCCGCCCUGGGAGCGGACUGCGUCCUACUAGCCAGUUGGCGGGGUAAUGGCCCACCAAGGCAACAAUGGGUAGCGGGUGUGAGAGCAUGACCCGUCUCACUGGGACUGAGACACUGCCCAGACACCUACGGGUGGCUGCAGUCGAGAAUCUUCGGCAAUGGGCGAAAGCCUGACCGAGCGACGCCGCGUGCGGGAUGAAGGCCCUCGGGUUGUAAACCGCUGUCGUAGGGGAGGAAGGCUCUGUGAAGAACAGGGUUUGACCUAUCCUAGGAGGAAGUACGGGCUAAGUUCGUGCCAGCAGCCGCAGUAACAC